rnacentral:rRNA from 1 species
CGUAACCCCGACCAAAGGGGAGGGCAGCCGGUCCGAAGGUAGGGUNAGUGAUUGGGGUG